rnacentral:lncRNA from 1 species
CUGCCCGCUCUGCCCUCCCUGCGGCUGCCCCAGCCUUUUUCACUCCACACCAGGCAGGGUGCGAGGAGUCCGGGUGGAGGAGCAGAGCCAAGAGCGAGCUUCUGACAGGCACCGGCACCUACUCAGACGUUCCUGUGUGGCAUCCAUGGGGUCCCCCCAAGAGACCCCCUGCUCCUGCUGGCAGGACCCCUACACUGCUCCCAUCUGGACUCACGGGGAUCCCUUUGAGGAUUUCUCACUGGGAUUUCUGAAAGACGGCCAAGCUUCAAUCCGCAGGUGAGAAGGAGGCCGGCCUCUGCUUCCUGCUCUCGCCCCUCUUCCUGAAGCUCAGCAGUUUAAAAGGAGGAGAAGAGAAAAGGAAGAAAGAGAAAACACAGGUAAACCACCACCAUUUCAGAACAUCACGCCCUAUGCCCCUCCUCCGGUCUCUACUUCGGUGCCAGCCCCUCCUACCCCUAGGGGCGAGUCAGGGUUGUAGCUGAGCUCAGACUCUGAGGAGGGGUUGUGAGUCCCUUGGGGCAGAGUCCGGCCCCCUCCAACCCAGUCCCCAGCACAGGCUUGAACUGAGGGAAUUGCAGAUGCAUGGAUUUAGUAAAGAUUUUUGUAACAGCCAGAAAAAUCUUCAUGAAAGAGACACAGAAACCAUGAGAGACAGAACAAACAAACAAAUAAAGACUCACGA